rnacentral:rRNA from 1 species
GACAGAGGGUGCAAACGUUGUUCGGAAUUACUGGGCGUAAAGCGAGUGUAGGCGGUCCGCUAAGUCGGGCGUGAAAGCCCUGGGCUCAACCCAGGAAGUGCACUCGAAACUGACGGGCUAGAGUAUCGGAGAGGUUGGUGGAAUUCUCGGUGUAGAGGUGAAAUUCGUAGAUAUCGAGAGGAACACCGGUGGCGAAGGCGGCCAACUGGACGAAUACUGACGCUGAGACUCGAAAGCGUGGGGAGCAAACAGG